rnacentral:snRNA from 1 species
GUGCUUGCUUUGGCAGUACAUAUACUAAAAUUGGAAUGAUACAGAGACAAUUAGCAUGGCCCCUGCUCAAGGAUGACAUGUAAAUGCAUGAGGCUUUCCAUAUUUAA